rnacentral:precursor_RNA from 12 species
ACGUAAAUUAAAUAUUUGUGACGGCAGAUGGGAGACUACCUAAUUGCAAGGUGUAUCUAUCGACUUUGCCUUUAGUUAGUUUCCGGUCUUUCAGUGCACAUGUCUACAGGAUGAAG